rnacentral:rRNA from 1 species
UACGUAGGGUGCGAGCGUUAAUCGGAAUUACUGGGCGUAAAGGGUGCGCAGGCGGUUCUGCAAGUCAGGCGUGAAAUCCCCGGGCUUAACCUGGGGAUGGCGCUUGAAACUACGGGACUGGAGUAUGGCAGAGGGAGGUGGAAUUCCACGUGUAGCGGUGAAAUGCGUAGAGAUGUGGAGGAACACCGAUGGCGAAGGCAGCCUCCUGGGCCAAUACUGACGCUCAUGCACGAAAGCGUGGGGAGCAAACAGG